rnacentral:lncRNA from 1 species
UCGUUUGUAUCAAUCCUUUUCUCUCCCUCUAUAUAGCUUGGUGUAGAGCAGAGAGGGAAUGUUCUGCUUCUUCUCCUCUCUCUCUCUAGCGGUGUCCUUGCGCACGGUGGAGCUCGGUGGGAGUUUCGUCGCCGACGUCGCGCCGCGGGAUCGUUCGAGCACGUAUUUGACGCCGGGGCAUUGCGAGGAGACCGGGCGAGCGUGCGACUUCGCUGUUCUUGACGUCGCGCCGGUGCUAGUCGCUGUCGAGGUGAGUAAUUCAGCCUUUCCUUGGAUUUUGGGGAAGUUCUUACUACUUCAACUUGGAGAGAAAUUGUUUACUGAAUUUCUUCGUCGACUGUUAGUAUUUCAGCUCAUUCUCGACGUAGGAGCAUCAGAUUUCGACGAGGCUUGGUUCGUUGGAUUCGGGACUGCGAGAGGAAUCUGCGAAGCCCUUUCUCGCUGGAUUUGGUGAAGGUUAGCUUGGUCGAAUUCUUGUUGUACUCCACUGCUGCGAAAACUGGACUGAAACGGUGAAUUGUUGGGUGUAGAGCUUGGAGUUAGCGCGAUUCUUGGGUUCGAAGGGCUACGAUCGACCCAGCAGGUGGCGCCACAGCUAUGAGAGUGUACCGCUGCUAGGGGAUAGCUUUCGAGGUGGGUUUACAUCGGUUUAUUCCUAAGUACUGUAGUCGUCAACAUGUAUGAUUUUUAGUUCGGUAAUCAUGUUGUAGCUUGAUAUUCGUGAUGCUAUCCUGGAUAUAAUCAGUAUUGAGAAUAUGACUAGUAAAUCUUAAAUGUAUAUGUUGGACUGGAUUUGACUUAGGAGAAAACACGAUUGGAAUCGUCAUAUGCUUAAACUACCAGAUUUAGCUCUAGAAGCCGUGAUUCGAUUGUAUCAUUGCAGUAUCGUUGCGAUGGAUACCUGGGGUAGUUUAGAAGGCAUUUACGCUCGUGCUGAGAUGCCGAGCUUAUUUUUCAGCAGAGUUUAGGCUGUUUCGAAUCGUUGGGUGCCGUUUGGGUUAGCGGUGGACCCAGAUUCUUGUUUUGGUCACAGAUUGUGCCGAGGGCACGUGGGUUUGGUUGUAGACCUGUUUUGACCCUGUUCCCUUGACGUUGGCUAGUUGGAGCCUGAUUGAGUUCGACAGAGAUACGCUGCAUACUCGGUUGGGUAGCGCCCACGAGUACCAAUCCGGAGUCAGGCUUUGUGCUUUCGCGUUGGUGUCGCUCUUGCCAGUUGGACUUGCUCUCCACGGACCAGUUAGUGUGGAUAGAGCCUGAUAGUCGCAACAGGGCAGGGACGGGUGUAUUCACAGUCCCGGGGACGGGUAUGCUUACAGUCCCGAUUGGGUUGGGUCAGAGUGGACAUUUCCUACAGUUGGUUAGUGUAGAGCAUGAUAGUGUAGUGAUCGGUAGCGGUAGAGUUAUUUUUCCUGCUUUUCUGACUACUCUUGCUCCCUUCUGUAAACUUAGUGGGUGGACCGAUGUUGUUUUCGGCGGUACCCACUGAGGACUACUUAUUUUUACAGUAGUUCUCACGCCCAGUUGUUACCUAUGUUUUUGCAGAGCCACAGGCUUCGGCUGCUGCGCCUUCCGCGGAUCAGGAUCGAGGCAAGGGCGUCGCGAGCUAGAGCCCUACCCGACUUACAGAGCUAGAGGCACCCUACCACAGGUGAUUGUUUUACUUCGAGCUUAUGUACAUAGUACUUAACUCGCCAAUGCGAGUAACGCUGUCUUUUGGUUUCUGAACUAUGUAUAUGAAUCUCAGUUGGUUUAGCUUUUGUUUAUUGAACAGCUCUAUGCUACUGUUUGUAGUAUUGCAUAUCUACUUGUACUUUUGACGCUUCGUAUACAGGAAAAAUUUCUUGUAUACGGCGGAUUUGUCGGCGUGCCCGGGGAACGAGACAUCCGGGUAUAAGUUGGUAUCAGAGCUUUGCUAUAGGUCGUUGGGACCUAGGAAACCUAAGUUUGGCAAACCUUAGGGAAGCAAGACGCGAGAGGCGUAAUUAAAUUGCGGAAGUCAAUGAUUGUUUGUUCUAACUCCUCCUAGAGUGGAGUGAGUGACUGAAGGAGUUUCUGUUUUGGCCUGAGAAAUUAUGUUGGCUGCAGACGACAUAAUUUUGGAGGAAAACAGGGACCGCCUUUCAGACUUUCGUUGAUUGGGUCAAGAGUGUUUGUUUUUCAACUAACCACGAUCUGUUCCUUUCAGCUAUGUACCGUCGCCGAGGCCAACCGUCGUUGCGGGAGCGUGCGCAGUUGGCGCAGGAUCGUGCUAGAUCUCCUGAGAUGCCUGAGCAGAUGGAGCUGGGUGACAGACCGGAGGCGAGUGCAUCCCCUGUUGUGGAGCCGAGUGCGCAACCGUUGGCUUGCGCAACGAGAGGCUAGCGCAUCCCCUGAUCUGAGUGCACAGUUGGCUGCCCUGACUGAGGUGACGAGGCAGCAGGGGGAGUUAUUGCAGAGGUUGUGUAAGAGGAUAGCUUAGCCACCGAGUUUAGCACCGAGAGUACCAGAGUCGCCAGUUCCACGCCUGACUACUCCAGUGACCCCACCAGCUGCAGCAGUUCUUCCGUCGACAGCAGUUCCAGUAGCGCCAGUUGCGCCUGCUAGAGGGCCAGUACCGUUGACUGAGGCCGAGCAGGAGCGGUGGACGGAGAGGUUAGCUCGUUUUUGUCGAUUUGACCCACCGAUCUUCGAUGGCAGAGGCACUGAGGCCUGGAUUGUUGAGGGAUGGGUCAGUGCGAUGGAAAAGUUAUUCGAGGAUCUGUUCGUUCCAGAGUGGGAGCAGGUACCUUUGGGAGUACACUGUCUAUCAGGUGAUGCACAUGAUUGGUGGCGGAGAGCGAGGCGAGACCAGGGACUGGUGGCGACAUAGUUGAGGUGGGAUGAGUUCUGUGGAAUGCUGUAUGGGAUGUAUUUCCCAAACAGCAUGAAACAGAAGAUCGAGGAGGACUUGAAGAGGAUCCAGCAGGGUGAGCGGACAGUUCAGGAGUAUGUUCCGGAGUUUACUAGGCUCCUGAACUGUGUUCCGUUCGUGGCCAGAGACGAGGCACAUAGGGUCUACUUGUUUGAGCAGGGUUUGAGACCCGAUCUAUUCAGGUUUGUUAGGGCGCAGAGGUCGAGGACUUUGGAUGCGUCUAUUGAGCAGGCAUUAUAGGAGGAGAGAGGAGAGGUGUCGUUGCGGGAGAGAGCUCAGGGGCCGGGACAGAGUCAGGACAGGAAGCGCCCAGCUCCAGACGACGGAGGUCAGUCGAGUAGCAGGCGUCCACCGAGGCCUCCACGAUCGCGUUCACAGGGUCGUGGGUUCUCGGGGCGUCAGCGAUCCAGGGACUCUCGUCAGAGGGGGCAGCCAGAGAGGACACCGCAGUGUGUGAUCUGCGGAGGACCACACUAGCCCAGACAGUGUGAGCAGAGGGAGGGCCGGUGCUACGGGUGUGGUCAGCCGGGACACAUGAGGGCAGCUUGUCCCCGAGCAGCAUCUCCAGCACCAUCGUCAGCUUCAGCUCUACCAGCACCUCAGCAGACUUACAUAGCAGCACCAAGUUACCGCCAGGAGGAUAGGUCGUCCAUGCCGCGACAGGGUGAGUGGCGACAGCAGGCUCCGAGUGGCAGAGUCUAUGCAGCACAGGUGGAGGACUCUACGGCAGCCGACCGAGUGGUGGCAGGUAUCACUUUGAUUUCUGGCAUUCGUACUCGUACUCUUUUUGAUACUGGAGCCUCGCAUUCUUUUGUUAGCCGAGCAUUUGCAUUGUUACAUGGUCUAGAGUUAGGGGCAUUGUCACAGGCACGAGAGGUGCAGAUCCCGGACCAUGUUUUACAGGUUGCAGAGUGUUGUUGGUCAUGUCCGGUGCAGUUGGAUUCGUGGGUUAUGCCCGCAGACCUGUUGGUGCUAGGGCAACUGCAGGACUUCGACGUUGUGCUCGGUAUGGAUUGGCUGGCGCGGUACUACGCUACGAUCGACUGUGGAGCGAGGACGGUGACAUUCCGCGAGCCAGGCCAGGAGGAGUUUACUUUUAGAGGCUGCAGGAGCACGCUGUUUGUCACCUGGAUAUCUUCGGCGAGGGUUCGACAGAUACUGAGUAGCGGGUGUAUUGCUUUCUUAGCGAUAGUUGUGGAGGUACCUACGGCGGCGCCGGGACUCGAGGAUAUUCCUGUCGUCCACGAGUUUUCGGAUGUGUUUCCCCCUGAGUUGACGACGUUGCCGCCGGAGAGGAAGAUUGAGUUUGUGAUUGAUGUAGUUCCUGGAACUGCACCAAUCUCAAAGGUACCUUAUCGGAUGGCGCCGGCAGAGCUGAGAGAGCUAAAGGCACAGCUUCAGGAUUUGAUGGAUAGAGGGUUUGUGAGACCCAGUGUGUCGCCUUGGGGAACGCCAGUGUUGUCCAUCAAGAAUAAGUAUCCCUUGCCGCGCAUUGAUGAUUUGUUUGAUCAGCUGCAGGGAUCUUAUGUCUUCUCGAAGAUUGAUCUCCAGUCGGGUUUCCACCAGCUGAGGGUGAGGGCCGAGGAUGUUCCCAAGACGGCUUUUCGGACUCGGUACGGGCAUUAUGAGUUCACAGUGAUGCCUUUUGGAUUGACGAAUGCCCCUGCCGCAUUUAUGGAUUUGAUGAACAGAGUGUUCAAGCCGUUCUUGGAUAGAUUUGUGGUAGUCUUCAUAGACGAUAUCUUGACAUACUCUCGGAGUGAUGCUGAGCAUGAGCACUUGAGGAUGGUGCUACAGCUUCUGCGAGAGAAGAAACUGUAUGCCAAGUUGAAGAAGUGCGAGUUCUGGCUACAGGAGGUUGCUUUCUUGGGCCACGUGAUUUCAGCCGAGGGCGUAGUAGUGGACCCGAAGAAGAUUGAGGCAAUUCGAGAUUGGCCUAGACCGACGAAGGUUACUGAGGUAUGGAGCUUCCUGGGAUUGGCAGGUUAUUACCGUCAGUUUGUGGAAGGCUUUGCGAAGCUUUCCACACCCCUCACACACUUGACACGGAAGGGGAUUCGUUUUGUCUGGAGCGACGACUGUCAGAGGAGUUUUGACGAGUUGAGACUGAGGUUGACGUCGGCUCCUAUCCUUGCCCUGCCUGUUAUGGGCGAAGGAUUUGUGAUCUACAGUGAUGCAUCGCACAGUGGACUUGGUUGCGUGCUGAUGCAGCAUGGUAGGGUGAUUGCUUAUGCUUCACGGCAAUUAAAGGAUUAUGAGAAGAAUUAUCCUACGCAUGACUUGGAGCUUGCCGCAGUGGUUUUUGCUUUGAAGGUCUGGCGGCAUUAUUUGUAUGGCGAGCACUGCGAGGUCUUCAUCGAUCAUAAAAGUCUCAAGUAUCUGUUCACAUAGAGAGAGCUGAACCUGAGGCAGCGCCGGUGGUUGGAGUUACUGAAGAACUAUGACAUUAGUAUUCAGUAUCAUCCCGGCAGAGCGAAUGUUGUGGCAGAUGCGUUGAGCAGGAAGACAGUGCAGAGCCUGAGUUUGAGGAUCACUGAGCAGAGACCUCUACUCGAGGAGCUGCAGCGGCUGGGACUCGAGAUAGUACCCCCUGGGUCUACGGCGAGGCUGACGUCUCUAGUGUUGCAGCCCACUCUGUUGGAUAGGAUCCGAGAGAAACAGAGUGGAGAUCCGUAUUUGUUGAGGAUUAGAGAGCAGCUGGACAGGGGGCAGGCUGAGGGAUUUGCUUUGGACAGUUCGGGAGUACUACGGUAUAGGGACCGACUGUGUGUGCCUGUGGAUCCUGAGAUUCGAGCGGAUAUUCUGAGAGAGGCUCAUUGUUCCCCUUAUACGGUUCACCCUGGGGGAACCAAGAUGUAUAAGGAUCUUAAGGCACGGUUCUGGUGGCCUGGAAUGAAAAGAGACAUUGGCAGAUUUGUAGCUCAGUGUUUAACUUGCCAAUAGGUGAAGGCCGAGCAUCAGGUACCUGCUGGCAAGCUUCAGAGUCUGCCAGUGCCCGAGUGGAAGUGGGAGUACAUCACUAUGGACUUUGUUGUUGGAUUGCCUAGAGCGCAGGGUGGCUACGACGCGAUUUGGGUGAUAGUGGACAGACUGACCAAGUCUGCUCACUUCCUACCGGUUCAGACUACCUGGUCCAGAGAGAGACUCGCGCAGCUAUACUUAGAUGAGAUCGUUAGGCUGCACGGCGUGCCAGUGUCGAUUAUAUCAGACAGAGACCCGAGGUUUGUAUCACAUUUCUGGAGGAGUUUGCAGACAGCCUUGGGUACACAGCUGCAUUUUAGCACGACAUUCCACCACAGACAGAUGGUCAGUCAGAGCGGACCAUACAGACUCUAGAGGACAUGCUGAGGGCAUGCGUCCUGGAUUUUGGAGGAGGGUGGUAUCGACAUGUGAGACUGGUUGAGUUUGCGUACAACAACAGCUAUCAAACGAGCAUUCAGAUGGCUCCGUUUGAGGCGUUGUAUGGACGCAGAUGUCGAUCCCCCCUGUUUUGGAGUGAUGUGGGUGAGCGGAGGACACUUGGACCGGAGAUUUUACUUGAGGCUGAGGAGAAGGUGAGAGUCGUUCGACGACACCUUUUGACAGCACAGAGCCGACAGAGGAGCUACGCCGAUACCAGGAGACGAGACUUGGAGUUUCAGGUCGGAGAUCAUGUUUUUUUCAAAGUCUCGCCGUCCAGAGGGAUACGCCAAUUUGGAGUACGUGGAAAGUUUAGUCCACGGUUUGUUGGCCCUUUCGAGGUAUUGGAGCGUAUCGGACCAGUUGCUUACAGGAUAGCUCUACCCCCACGACUUGCUGGCAUCCAUGAUGUUUUCCACGUCUCAGCACUGAGGAGAUACGUUUUCGACCCCUCUCACGUGAUUAACUUCGCUCCACUCGAGAUUAGCGAGGAUCUGAGAUACGAGGAGCGACCGUUGCGGAUUCUUGCUCGAGAGACGAAAGAAUUGCGCAACCGGGUCAUCCCGUAUGUGGAAGUGUAGUGGAGCCAUCACGAGGACCGAGAGGCGACUUGGGACCCUGAGACGGUGAUGAGGGAAGCUUACCCCAACCUGUUUGAUGCAUGAGCAGAGGUAUGUUUCUGUUUCGCGGACGAAACCUUUUGUAGAGAGGGAGGAUGUGAGAUCCCUAGUUUUCAGCUGUGGAGGCUUGCCGACAGCUCUGGAGAGUGUCGGGACAAGUCCGAGUCGCGUUGGCGUCAAAUAGACGUAAAACGGACUCCGUGCGACGCGAGGGCAGCUUAUAGCGAAGAAAUUUGCAAAACUGCAGAUUUCUCUGCUUGCUGUACCGGUACAACCAGCGUGGCUAUACCGGUACAACUAUCGCGCAGAGGCUUAACAGCUCUCGGGUUGGCUCUUGUACCGGUACAAGAGCCCGUGUACCGGUACAAGGGGAUAGGUAGAGGGCUAAAUGAGUAAUUUUUCUCUCCCUCGUUUGUAUCAAUCCUUUUCUCUCCCUCUAUAUAGCUUGGUGUAGAGCAGAGAGGGAAUGUUCUGCUUCUUCUCCUCUCUCUCUCUAGCGGUGUCCUUGCACACGGUGGAGCUCGGUGGGAGUUUCGUCGCCGACGUCGCGCCGCGGGAUCGUUCGAGCACGUAUUUGACGCCGGGGCAUUGCGAGGAGACCGGGCGAGCGUGCGACUUCGCUGUUCUUGACGUCGCGCCGGUGCUAGUCGCUGUCGAGGUGAGUAAUUCAGCCUUUCCUUGGAUUUUGGGCAAGUUCUUACUACUUCAACUCGGAGAGAUGUUGUUUGCUGAAUUUCUUCGUCGACUGUUAGUAUUUCAGCUCGUUCUCGACGUAGGAGCAUCGGAUUUCGACGAGGC